rnacentral:rRNA from 1 species
UAUAGCUGCUUAUACUGUGAACUGCGAAUGGCUCAUUAAAUCAGUUAUAGUUUAUUUGAUGGUACCUCCUACUCGGAUAACCGUACAAGCUUCCAUGCGGGAGUGGUGGGCCAAACCCGCUGCUAGUAGGCCCCGAGGGCCUGCGACACCAUCAAAUUGCCGGGACAGCCUGUAAAGUCGGCGCUACCGCCCGGCAGAGGAAACUCUGCUGCGGCACCUCGGUGAAAAUCGCGGGUAUGGUAACAACGCGUCGAAUAGGGCCAAUCGGCAGCGAAGCUCUAAGGGCCUCGGCCUACGAGUGAUGUUCACAGACUAAAUGGUGGUGGGCUGGAGGCUUCUGCCUCCAGCUUAAGAUAUAGUCGGUCCCCCCCGAGAGGGGAGCCUGCAGGAGGAACCCAACCGAUAGGUCGGGGGCGAGCCUGCAGGGGCCUGGGUAGUAGUCGGAGUAGAAAUGCGCCGACGGCGACAGCCUCCAGGCCGGAGAAACGAGGAAAUCUAGGGCUAAUACGUGCGCAAAUCCCGACUUCUGGAAGGGACGUAUUUAUUAGAUAAAAGACCGACCGGCUCUGCCGACCCUCGGUGAAUCAUGAUAACUUCACGAAUCGCAUAGCCUCGUGCUGGCGAUGUUUCAUUCAAUUUCUGCCCUAUCAACUUUCGAUGGUAGGAUAGAGGCCUACCAUGGUGGUAACGGGUGACGGAGAAUUAGGGUUCGAUUCCGGAGAGGGGAGCCUGAGAAACGGCUACCACAUCCAGGAAGGCAGCAGCGCGCAAUACCAUCCGACACGGGGAGGUAGUGACAAGAAAUAACAAUACUGGGCUCAUCAGAGUCUGGUAAUUGGAAUGAGUACAAUCUAAACCCCUUAACGAGGAUCCAUUGGAGGGCAAGUCUGGUGAAAAGCGCUGACGCCAGAGAUAGUGGGGCGCCGGCCUCGGGGUCGGCGUUAGGCCUGCUAGUCGAGGGACCAUGUGUGUGGGUCGGGUUGGUCCCCGGCAAGAUGACCUGGGACGGGGAAGGCCUUCAGCCCUGCAAGGGGUCCGGCUAAUCCCGUGGCGAGCCUGCAUAGAGCGAUCUUUGCAAGGCCGUCGUAACGCACGGCAAGGCAUCGGUUGACUCUCGUACUCUCGUGAGUUGGCUUAAGGGACGUGCUAAACCCACCGGAUGACAAACGGUGUCUCGAACAUUAGGACCCGAUCUCCAAAGGUUCGAGAGGGCUAGAGUGUGUAGAGGAAAUGCUGCGCACUGCCCGGUAGGUUUCCGUUUUUGGCGUCGGCCACCAACGGGGACGCUUGGCCAGCAGCCGCGGUAAUUCCAGCUCCAAUAGCGUAUAUUUAAGUUGCUGCAGUUAAAAAGCUCGUAGUCGGUUUUCGGGCGGGUACCACCGGUCGGCCUUUGGUCUUUUCCGGUGUGUCCCGCUUUACUGCCGGGGACGGGCUCCUAGGCUUAACUGUCUGGGACCCGGAAUCGGCGAUGUUACCCUGAACAAAUUGGAGUGUUCAAAGCAGGCAUACGCUCUGAACAUAUUAGCAUGGAAUAACGAUAUAGGACUCUGGCCUAUUUCGUUGGUCUGUGGGACCGGAGUAACGACCAAUGGGGGGCAGUCGGGGGCAUUCGUAUUUCGUUGUCAGAGGUGAAAUUCUUGGAUUUACGAAAGACGAACUGCUGCGAAAGCGUUUGCCAAGGAUGCUUUCGUCGAUCAAGAACGAAAGUUGGGGGCUCGAAGACGAUUAGAUACCGUCCUAGUCUCAACCAUAAACGAUGCCGACUAGGGAUCGGCGGAUGUUCUUUUGAUGACUCCGCCGGCACCUCAUGAGAAAUCAAAGUUUUUGGGUUCCGGGGGGAGUAUGGUCGCAAGGCUGAAACUUAAAGGAAUUGACGGAAGGGCACCACCAGGCGUACAGGUCAGACAUAGUGAGGAUUGACAGAUUGAGAGCUCUUUCUUGAUUCUAUGGGUGAAAAAGUGAAAUGCACUUACUGCCCAUGAAAGCCGCGGCGAGAGCCGCAGCUAGUCGGUCCCAGUCCGCUCACUGCGAGGGCUGGGUCCCGGCGAGACCGUCGAAUUGCGGGGACAUCCUGUUAGACCUUGCUCACCAACCCGGCGCGGAAACGCAGUCGGGGGCCGGGGUAAUGACCUAGGGUAUGGUUAAAGCAGCAAGGGUAGGGACAAUCCGCAGCCAAGCCCCUAAGGACCCUCCGGGUCUAAGGGGAAGGUUCAGAGACUAUGUGGCGGUCGGUUCUGAUGGAUGAUUCCUUACGAACAUCAGAGCUUAAGAUAGAGUCCGACUCUGCCGAGAGGCAGCCUUGGGAUGAACGACCUGAGCAGGGUCUGGAGCCCAAGGAGGUUGGCAAAGAAGGCUUCGGCGCUCUUUGUCGGCUGAGAGUACUCGGGUGGUGCAUGGCCGUUCUUAGUUGGUGGGUUGCCUUGUCAGGUUGAUUCCGGUAACGAACGAGACCUCAGCCUGCUAAAUAGUCACACCCGGUUUUCCGAGUGGCCGACUUCUUAGAGGGACUAUCUGCGUCUAGCAGAUGGAAGCAUGAGGCAAUAACAGGUCUGUGAUGCCCUUAGAUGUUCUGGGCCGCACACGCGCUACACUGACGCGAUCAGCGAGCCUAUCCUUGGCCGAGAGGUCCAGGUAAUCUUGCAACCCGCGUCGUGAUGGGGAUAGAUUAUUGCAAUUAUUAAUCUUCAACGAGGAAUGCCUAGUAUGCGCGAGUCAUCAGCUCGCGUAGAUUACGU